rnacentral:rRNA from 1 species
GACGAACGCUGGCGGCGUGGAUUAGGCAUGCAAGUCGAACGGUAUCAUCCUUUCGGGGGUGAGAGAGUGGCGAACUGGUGAGUAACACGUAGGUUAUCUACCCUCAAGACGGGGACAACCCAGGGAAACUUGGGCUAAUACCGGAUGUGAGCAACUUUUAGUUGUUUGAAAGGUGGCGUAAGCUGUCGCUUGGGGAUGAGCCUGCGUCCUAUUAGUUAGUUGGUGAGGUAACGGCUCACCUAGGCAAUGAUAGGUAGGCGGCCUUAACGGGUGGUCGCCCACACUGGGAUUGAGAUACGGCCCAGACUCCUACGGGAGGCAGCAGUCGAGAAUAGUCUACAAUGGUCGGAAGACUGAUAGUGCGACGCCGCGUGAACGAUGAAUCCCUUCGGGGUGUAAAGUCUUUUAUAUGUGAGCAGUGCUUCUUAUAUUAACAGUAUGGGGAGAGAGAUAUUAGCAUAUGAAUAAGCAACGGCUAACUCCGUGCCAGCAGCCGCGGUAAACUCG